rnacentral:rRNA from 1 species
AAAGGUAGCAAAAUCAAUAGUUUUAUAAUUGAAAGCUGGAAUGAAGGAUUGAAUGAAAUAUAGACUGUCUCAAUUUUAAAUUUUUAAUUUUCUUUUUAGUUAAAAAGCUAAAAUUUUAUUAAAAGACGAGAAGACCCUAUAGAUUUUUAUAUUUAAAAAUUUAUUAUUAAUAAUAAAAUAUUAUAUUUAUCUUUUUUAAAUAUUUGGUUGGGGCAAUUAUUAAAUUAAUUAAAUUUUAAUGAUAUUAAAACAAUAAUUUUUGAAUUUAUGAAUUUGAAUUUUAAAUUUGAAAAUAAAAUACCUUAGGGAUAACAGCGUAAUUUUUUUGGAGAGAUCUUAUUAAUAAAAAAGUUUGCGACCUCGAUGUUGAAUUAAGAUAAAAUUUUAAUGUAGAAGUUAAAAAUUUUUGGUCUGUUCGACCAUUAAAAUCUUACA